GUCUACAGCCACACUACCCUGAAUGUGCCUGAUCGUAUCUACCUCAGAAGCUAAGCAGGACCACACCUGGUUAGUGCCUGGAUGGAAGAUGUUUACU
rnacentral:rRNA from 1 species